rnacentral:rRNA from 1 species
GAUGAACGCUGGCGGCGUGCCUAAUACAUGCAAGUCGAGCGAAGCGGGGACGGGGGAGUAACACGUGGAUAACCGCCGAUAUGACGGGUUCAACUUCGGGAAACGGGAGCUAACCCCGACACUUAGAACUGGGUCUCCGCUGCAUUAGAUAGUUUGUAAGGUAACGGCUUACCAAGGCAAGGAUGCAUGGCCGGUCUGAGAGGGUGAUAGGCCAACAUGGAACUAAGACACCGUCCCUACUCCUACGGUAGGAAGCAGUAGGGAAUAUUCCGCAAUGGGAGAAAGCCUGACGGAGCAACGCCGCGUGAAUGAUGAAGGUCGUCGGGUCGUAAAGCUCUUUUAGUAGGGAAGCGUUACCUAAACAGAAAGCAACGGCUAACUACGUGCCAGCAGCCGCGGUAAUUC